GAGCAACAAGCCUUGUCGCGAGCUGUAGAGAUUCUCUUCCUUCCUCCAAUUUAAGGCCCUGUCAAACUGUUGCAGUUUGACAGGGCCUUAAAUUGGAGGAAGGAAGAGAAUCUCUACAGCUCGCGACAAGGCUUGUUGCUC